rnacentral:rRNA from 1 species
UACGUAGGGUGCAAGCGUUGUCCGGAAUUAUUGGGCGUAAAGAGCUCGUAGGCGGUUUGUCGCGUCGGCUGUGAAAACUCGGGGCUCAACCUCGAGCCUGCAGUGGGUACGGGCAGACUAGAGUGCGGUAGGGGAGACUGGAAUUCCUGGUGUAGCGGUGAAAUGCGCAGAUAUCAGGAGGAACACCGGUGGCGAAGGCGGGUCUCUGGACCGUAACUGACGCUGAGGAGCGAAAGCAUGGGGAGCGAACAGG